UACGGAGGGGGCUAGCGUUGUUCGGAAUUACUGGGCGUAAAGGGUGCGCAGGCCGCGCGGGCAGUCAAAUGUGUAAUUCAGGGGCUCAACCCCUGCACUGCGCUUGAUACUUUCGCGCUCGAGCUUUGGAGAGGAGUCUGGAAUUCUCGGUGUAGCAGUGAAAUGCGUGGAUAUCGAGAAGAACACUUAGGGCGUAGGCAAGACUCUGGACAAAUGCUGACGCUCAUGCACGAAGGCUAGGGUAGCGAACGGG
rnacentral:rRNA from 1 species